CAAAUACCGACAAAUACAAUCUCCCGAUAAAGAUUCUAUCCCAAAGCUGCCCCACCUAUCGUCCAAUUAGUUGGCGUUUUCCACUCAGAGGAGAAGAUGACGGUUAUGGCAAUGACGUAUUCACACUUCAACAUAGUCAACAUCGACUCAUGUUAAUAUUGACUUGAAUCUCAAUUUCAUUGAGGAUAAAAUUAAUUUGAGUUUUUAAACAAGAAAUUUUAUUGAAAUAGUCAAAGGGUUUAGUAAACUACAACAUGGAAGAAAAUAUGGAAAGGGGACUAUGGUACAAUGGCAAGUUAACUAAAGUGGAUCUUCAGUCCCGAACCAAAAGAAAGAUUACUUAGACGCUCAUGCAAGAUUAUUUCGAUUAUGAAAAAUGAACUGCCAUAUGUGAGAUGAAAUGAGAUGUGAGAUGAAAUCAAUUAUGAA